rnacentral:rRNA from 1 species
GAGAAAGUAAGCAAGGGCAGACGGUGGAUGCCUUGGCUCUCGGAGGCGACGAAGGACGUGAUAAGCUGCGAAAAGCUCGGGGGAGGCGCAAAUAGCCGUUGAUCCCGGGAUAUCCGAAUGGGGCAACCCGGCAGGCUGAAGGCCUGCCAUUCCGUAAGGGAGGCGAACGUGGGGAACUGAAACAUCUAAGUACCCAUAGGAGGAGAAAAUAAACAAUGAUUCCGUAAGUAGUGGCGAGCGAACACGGAAGAGCCCAAACCCGUGUCGUCUAGGCGAUACGGGGGUUGUAGGACCACGACGUGGCAAGAUAGAGUCAAGUGGAACGCCUUGGAAAAGGCGGUCAUAGAGGGUGAAAACCCCGUACACGACUGACGAUUGAAGCCUAGUGGCAUCCUGAGUAGCGCGGGGCACGAGAAAUCUUGCGUGAAACAGCGGGGCCCAUCCCGUAAGGCUAAAUACUCCCGAGAGACCGAUAGCGAACCAGUACCGUGAGGGAAAGGUGAAAAGAACCCCGAGCAGGGGAGUGAAAUAGACCCUGAACCCGUCUGCCUACAAGCGGUCGGAGCGUCGUAAUGACGUGACGGCGUGCCUUUUGCAUAAUGAACCUACGAGUUACCUUCCCCGGCAAGGUUAAGUUCUUGAGGAACGGAGCCGAAGCGAAAGCGAGUCUGAACAGGGCGCCAAGUCGGGAGGGGUAGACGCGAAACCGAGUGAUCUACCCUUGGCCAGGUUGAAGGUUGGGUAACACCAACUGGAGGACCGGAUGGGUAAGCGUUGAAAAGCUUUCCAAUGAGCUGAGGGUAGGGGUGAAAGGCUAAUCAAACUCGGAGAUAGCUCGUACUCCCCGAAAUGCAUUUAGGUGCAGCCUCUUUAUAGUAUAUCGUGAGGUAGAGCGACUGAUUGGAUGCGAGGGCUUCACCGCCUAUCAAGUCCAGAUAAACUCCGAAUGCGCGAUAUAUAUUUACAGGGAGUGAGGGCGCGGGUGCUAAGGUCCGUGUCCGAGAGGAGAAGAAUCCAG